CGGCUGCCAGGAGCUCAGCAUCUCCGCUGCCUGCCCCCGGCUCUGCCCCCGCAGACCUCCGCACAAACCCUCUCUCCCUUCCCUGCGCCGGCAGGGCGGACGGGAGCUGGGAGGAAAAGCUGCCACAGUGCGCUAGAUGGGAUUCCUCCCGGGGAAGAGGAGGGAAGGGAAAAGGAGAACCCCGCGCGCACUUUCCCAUCCAAGGUUCCCGAUCUCGCCGAGCACUGGAAAAGCCUCUUCUCCCCCCAGACCCCGCCGGGCAGGACCGGGCAUGCGCAGCAGGAACAGCCUCCCAUCCCUCGGUGUGUAACCCCCGCCCCGGCGUAAUGACGAGCGCACUGGGCUGCAUCCCACGGCACUGAGGGGUGUUCCCCGCUCUCCUAACAAUCCUGCGUAACAGGGACAGCUAAGGAACUCUUUGAACUACUGCCCUCAAAAUG
rnacentral:lncRNA from 1 species